rnacentral:lncRNA from 1 species
GAUUGAUGAGGACUUGUUUUUAUUUAAUCCAUUUUAGAAUAAGGCUGUAACGUAACAAAAUGUGCAAAAUGUCAAGGGGUCUGAAUACUUUCCGAAUGCACUACUUGGUAUUCAGGCAGACACUCUUUGUGUGAGAGCCACAAUCCAAGGCGAGGCAGACGUGAUGAUCUGCCAAGAAGAUAGGCAACGAUGGCAACUCAAGGCGAGCGCAUGUCUCAAUGACAGAACACCUGUCAUAUUGUCUGAACAGCCUGUUCACUCUCCUGUUCCUACUACACAAACUAGAACAGAAACCAAGCCAAAGUAAACCCUGACAGUGCACAGGGGUUAAGAGACAGGAAGACAGAGAGAGACACACACAUUAAGAGGAGAGGAGAGAGAGAGAGAGAGAGAGACACACGAAGAGGGGAAAAUAGAGAGAGAGACAUGAAGAGGAGAGGGGAAAAGAGAGAGAGAGACACGAAGAGGAGAGGGGAAAGGAGAGAGAGAGAGAGACACGAAGAGGAGAGGGGAAAGGAGAGAGAGAGACACAAAGAGGAGAGGGGAAAGGAGAGAGAGAGAGAGAGACACGAAGAGGAGAGGGGAAAGGAGAGAGAGAGACACAAAGAGGAGAGGGGAAAGGACAGAGAGAGAGUCACACACACAAAGAGGGGGGGAGAAGGCUAGAACCCAAGAAAGACAUGGAGAGGGGGACUUUGACAGAUAGAGAGAAGGGUUUAGAGACAUGGGGGAGAGAAGGGCUUAGAGACAUGGGGGAGAGAAGGGGGGUGGAGAGGUGAACACAGAGGUGGAGAGGUGUAAAGAGCAUCCUGUCGGGCUGUAUCACUGCUGUAUCACCUGGCACAGCAAUUGCACCGUCCGCAACCGCUGGGCUCUCCAGAGGGUGGUGUGGUUAGCCCAACGCAUCAUCGGGGGCACAGUGCCUGCCCUCCAGGACAUCUACAGCACCCGGUUUCAUAGGUAGGUCAAGAAGAUCAUCAAGGACCUCAGCCACCCGAGCCAAAGCCUGUUCACCCCGCUACCAUCUAGAAUGCAGAGAGCAUACAGGUGCAUCAAAGCUGGGACCGAGAGACGGCUUAUAACACCAGGUCAUCAGACUGUUGGUCACCACUAGCCGGCCUCCACCCAGUACCCUGACCUGAAGCUUAGCCACUGUUGCUAGCCGGCUAACACCCGGUACUCUACCCUGCACCUUUGAGACUGCUGCCCUAUGUACAGAGAGUCAUUGAACACUGGUCACUUGAAUAAGGUUUGCAUACUGUUUAACCCACUUUAUAUGUAUACAGUGUACUCUAGUCAUGGUUCAUCCUACAUAAGUACUAAUGUACACACCUUUUGCUGUUCAUAUAUUGUCCAUGCUGUCUAUACACACCAUAUAUCGCGUAUAUUCCGGACUGACAAUACUCAUUCUGAUAUUGCUUAAUUUCUUCAUUCAACUUUUUGGAUUGUGUGUGUAUUGUUUUGUCUUGCUGGGCAUUACUGCACUGUUGGAGAUUUUUACUCCUCGUCCACCUAGACUUCACACAUGAAAAUGUUAUAUUCAGUUGAAUAUACUCCUUUAACCUCUUUCUUUUAAUAUAUAUUCGAGGAGAUAAAAUUGGAACCAGUUGAAUAACAUCCAGUCCCCUAACAAGGCCUCUGAACUGUAAAAUGUUUCAUUUAUAGUGUAAUUAAAGAAACGACAUGAAAUGAACAUGUGAUGGCCAGACGAACCGGUGGUCAUUGACUAUGUAUGAGUUGUAAUAGAGGUCUGCUGUUCUGCAGCACAGUCCUCCUCACUCCACCAGAGGGCAGCAGAACCACCAGAAUGGGACCCAGGGAAUCCCCCACUUACUGUACUGACCUAAUGCUAAUAAAUCAAAUGAGUGUUUAGAUCACUAAUUGGUCAUUACUAUCCUAGCCUUCUCUCCUUUUGGACUCUGUUUUUACUAAGAGCGGCUUCGGCUGCCGUCACGACCCACAAGCACCAGCGACCUCGGAUACGUCGAUGUUCUUGUGCUGUCCGAACACAUUACAUCUAAUUCGGUGUUGGGAGUUUGUAUGUAUGAAAAACGAGGCGGAGGGUGCAGUACUCCGUUUCCGCCACCAUGGAGCAAGGGGGUCCUCUUUUGCAGCAGAGCGUGGCUGUUGCCAGUGGAAUGAAUCACUCACCAUACGCAUAUUCCUGGAGAACUGCCAGGCGCACGACGACGAUGAGGCUAAUUUCAGCCCCGUUCCCAUGCCGCCUGGACGCCUUCGAAGGAUCUGGCCAACGCCACCACUGAAAUGCUGCGGACUCUGGCCCAGGUCUUUAUCGAUUCAGAUACAGAAGUGAUCACACAUUUGGAGUUAGGUACAUUUUCUCCUAUGCAGGAGGGAUGGGGGAAAGGGGAGGUAUAGUAGGCUACAGCGUCAGAUGGUAACAGUCACAGAACGAUCCAGUGCUGUGCCCCCGGAUAGGGUCUCACUGCACCACACUGAGAAUAUGAGAUGCGGAGGACCAAUGAGGACGAUGGUGGGGUGUGAAAAUGUGACAAUGAGAGAUAUGGAGAGUGCGUACAUGAGUGCACAUUCUGGCAAGGAAGAGUGUGUUUAUGCAGAACAUGUGUGUGUGCAUGUGGCAGAGCGAUAAAGAAGGAUAUUGUGUGCAUGCACGUGCAUACAGUAUGUGUGUGUCACAGGAGGUUGGUGGCACCUUAAUUAGGGAGGACGGGCUUGUGGUAAUGGCUGGAGCGGAGUGGUGGAAUUGUAUCUAUCGAACAAGUGGUUUCCAUAUGUUUGAUUCCAUUCCAUUUGCUCCAUUCCGGCCAUUAUUAUGAGCCAUCCUCCCCUCAGCAGCCUCCACUGGUGUGUGUGUGUGUGUGUGUGUGUGUGUGUGUGUGUGUGUGUGUGUGUGUGUGUGUGUGUGUGUGUGUGUGUGUGUGUGUGUGUGUGUGUGUGCGUGCACAUGGCAAGGGGGGAAAAGAGUGUGUUUAUGCAGAGGAGAGUGUGAAUGUGACAGAGAGGCGAGGAGAGUCAUUGUAGGCUUGUGUUCAAGCUGGAGAGAGUGUGUGUCUGGCUAUGAGCAUGAGGCUGCUGGAGAGAGAGAGUGAGGUUGAUUGAUGAUGAAAAGUAAAUAUGUGUGUGUGUUAACAGGCAGUGGUAGAGUGUGUACUCUGCAGUGUGUGUGAAGAAAGUGUGUUUGUGUGUGUGUGAAGAUAUAUUUACAUAACAGACAACGGAAACCGAGUAUAUAUGUUCUGUAUGCAAAAUACUCAGCAUACAUACUUAUGUAGCAGAUGUCUCCAAGCAGAAUAAAAAUAAAGGCC